AAUCCAAGAAUUUCACCUCUGACAAUUAAAUACUAAUGCCCCCAACUGUCCCUAUUAAUCGUAAUCUAGAAUUAACCAAUAUUCCAGACACAUUCGUUAUUCCAUGCUAAUGUAUUCCUGCAACAGCCUGCUUGAAACACUCUAAUUUUCUCACAGUAACAGUCUAAGACUGGUAGACAAGCAAAGUACAAGUACCCACUUAUCUAGAAAUCCAACUACGAGCUUUUUAACUGCAACAACUUUAAUAUACGCUAUUGGAGCUGGAAUUACCGC
rnacentral:misc_RNA from 1 species